rnacentral:rRNA from 1 species
GAUGAACGCUGGCGGCGUGCCUAAUACAUGCAAGUCGAGCGAACAGACGAGGAGCUUGCUCCUCUGACGUUAGCGGCGGAAGGGUGAGUAACACGUGGAUAACCUACCUAUAAGACUGGGAUAACUUCGGGAAACCGGAGCUAAUACCGGAUAAUAUAUUGAACCGCAUGGUUCAAUAGUGAAAGACGGUUUUGCUGUCACUGAUAGAUGGAUCCGCGCCGCAUUAGCUAGUUGGUAAGGUAACGGCUUACCAAGGCAACGAUGCGUAGCCGACCUGAGAGGGGGAUCGGCCACAAUGGAACUGAGACACGGUCCAGACUCCUACGGGAGGCAGCAGUAGGGAAUCUUCCGCAAUGGGCGAAAGCCUGACGGAGCAACGCCGCGUGAGUGAUGAAGGUCUUCGGAUCGUAAAACUCUGUUAUUAGGGAAGAACAAAUGUGUAAGUAACUAUGCACGUCUUGACGGUACCUAAUCAGAAAGCCACGGCUAACUACGUG